UGUCUGCAAAUUUGUUUUGCAACUGAACAAAUUGCUUCUUUCAACAGCACUCGAUCGAUUUAAACACCGAAGAUAAUUAGUUAUUUUGAUUCUUUACAUUUCGCGUAAUGAGCUAAGACAGGGUCUUCCUCGUAGGAAAUCAGAGAGAGAUACACAUUACGAGUUGCGGUCAAACUGAAUCACCCCAACACCAACAAAAGUUCCUCCUAUAAAUUCAAUCAGGGUUCAACUGCUGUUUCGUUUGAGGAAAGCCGAAGAAUGGCAGCCGUUUUAAGGUCGAUCUUUGGAUUCCCCCUGUGUUGCUUUCCUUGUUUAGGGAAAGCGAAGAAGAAUCCAGUGUCACAAGCCAGUGCAGGAAUCGGAGAUUUGUGUGGUUCAUCUGGAGCAGAGGAGAAAUGUCCCCUUUUCAAAAUUUUUGAUGGAUCUUCCUCAAGCGCAAGUGGUCAGCGGAAAACUCCAACUGGAAAGAAGAAGACGUCCAUUCGGGAUGUUUGAGAGGCAAUCGUGGCUCAAAUUACCUCUAUUUGUCAAUGUUGUCCGACCACGUAGGUCAAUGCUUGGACGUUAUCCAAAUAAAUCUAGUACGCUAACAUUUAUAAAUUGGAUAGUUAAUAGAAAAAAAAGUAAAAUAGAGCUCUUGUAACG